rnacentral:rRNA from 1 species
AGCGACCCCAGGUCAGGCGAGACUA